CAUUCCCUGCUAUCAACAUUCACGAGAGAAACCUCCCACUUUCCAUUACCAAACUCUGAAGCAAAACCCACUAACUCAGCAAUUUAAAAUCCCAUCCCUGGCUCCCUCCUGUCAGCGAUUCAAUGAUUGGAAAGGGAAAACUACAAAUGGUAAAACCGCAAACUAUUUAGUCACGAGCGUUGCUGCCUACUCCUCCUCUCAUCUUUGGUACUUGCUUUCAGUCCUCAUGGUCGCCUGCCAAUAACAGUUCAAGCCUUAAACGAGGCAACUGGCCCGAAGUGUUGUACUUGGACAAUGAUGAAGUUCCUUCAACUUAUGACGUGGCAAAGGCGGACUGUAAGUUUUGUAUUGAAAAAGUUAUACUAUGUCCAAAAUUUGAUUGUAUACCAUACUGUUCAAAGAAGUGGGAUUUUGUAAUUUGCAAACAUUUGUCGAGAAUGACAGAAACCAUCUAUUAGGAUCGUCAAUUUAAUAGUCGAGAUGUUGUGCUGCA